rnacentral:lncRNA from 1 species
GUACUACCUCAUCAGCUGGCAGCGUGUAUAUUUUAUUCUCCAAAGAAUAAAUGCCCUUGAGUUGUAGGGCAGAGACUCUAAUAUUUGUGGCUCAUCAUAGGCAUCAAAAAAAGCUAUGUCUGGAGAGCUCUCUUUUAGACCUGCUUUUGAAGAAAGUCCAUGCAGUCACUCGUGUUAGAGACUAGAAUCUGGAGACUGAAACACUGCUGAAUUAAUUUUGCAAAUUCAAGAGAAAGUUGCCAACACAUAUUUGAGCCCUCGUUUCACAAAAUAAUGGGCUACUCCACUGGGGCCUCCCAGGAUCACAGCUCCGACCUCAGCUCGACAGACUGUUGAGAUUUCUCCAGAUGUGGCAUGGAACCAGCUCUGAGCUUGCCACAGGAAGCCUGUGGGUCCUCUGUGGGGCCAACAUGUUGGUUAUGUGCCAUGUGCUGAGACCCACUCUUGAAUAUCUCCAGUUCAUUUCACCCAAGGAAACAAGAAAGAAAGAAACCUCAGAGGCCAUUUCUUGCCACCCGAGUUUAAAGAGCGGCUACAGUGGACCAUGUGAGCCCGAGGAGCAGUGAGACAGAGGCUGAAGAAUAAGGAUAGCGACAUAUUUAUAUAGCUCCUUGCAGUUUUGCUGAGCACUUUCACACGCCAGUCUCGGUGAAUUUUCACAACCACCUAUAAGGGAGGGCUAGCAGGGCAAGAAUGAGUUAUUGUUUCUAUUUAAUGAAGGAAAAGGCUGAGCUUCAGGAAAUUGGGUGAUAAACCUUAGGUUCACAGCUAUUUCCUGUAAGACUUGGAACUUGAACCCACUUUACCUGACUUCCACCUCAGAGGUUUCACAUACACUCCCUCUUUGCUCCGUGCUCUUCACAUCCGCAGAGAACUAUCUCUGGUUACUAUCUCUGGUUUUCCACAUAAUACAUGUACAUGAUGCAUGUAUGUUACAAUGUCCACACAAACUCCAGGAUUGGGGACAGAGAAAGAAAUCCAAGAAUUGUUUAAAAGCUGGAAUAUUUAAAACGCCCUCUCUCAUUCAGUGGUGGUUUCUUUCUUGCUUAUCAGCACCUAUGAUUAAAAAAAAAGAAGAAACAAAAAAAAAACAAAAACAAAAAAAGUGGGAAAAAAACAACAGUAAGAGAUUAUUUUGAAAUCUUUUUCUCUUUGCCUGUCUGUUUCUGAUGGUAAAAAGGUAGAGAAAAUAAUCAGAGGGAGUCAUAGAGAGAGAGGGAAGAAGAGGAGAUAAUCACUGAUUAUUAAUUUCUAUUCUGAGAGAAUUAGUU